rnacentral:rRNA from 1 species
UACGGAGGGUGCAAGCGUUAAUCGGAAUUACUGGGCGUAAAGCGUGCGUAGGCGGUUCGUUAAGUCUGUUGUGAAAGCCCCGGGCUCAACCUGGGAAUGGCAAUGGAUACUGGCGAGCUAGAGUGUGUCAGAGGAUGGUGGAAUUCCCGGUGUAGCGGUGAAAUGCGUAGAGAUCGGGAGGAACAUCAGUGGCGAAGGCGGCCAUCUGGGACAACACUGACGCUGAGGCACGAAAGCGUGGGGGAGCAAACAGG